GAUGAACGCUGGCGGCGUGCUUAACACAUGCAAGUCGAACGAAGCAAUGAGACGGAAGCCUUCGGGUGGAAGUUUCAUUGACUUAGUGGCGGACGGGUGAGUAACGCGUGGGUAACCUACCUCGUACAGGGGGAUAACAGUUGGAAACGACUGCUAAAACCGCAUAAGCCUACAGUAUCGCAUGAUACAGCAGGAAAAUAUUUAUAGGUAUGAGAUGGACCCGCGUCUGAUUAGCUAGUUGGUAAGGUAACGGCUUACCAAGGCGACGAUCAGUAGCCGACUUGAGAGAGUGAUCGGCCACAUUGGGACUGAGACACGGCCCAAACUCCUACGGGAGCAG
rnacentral:rRNA from 1 species